GGAGGAAUGGCCGAGCGGUCAAAGGCGGCUGACUGUAAAUCAGCUCUCGUACGAGUUCGUAGGUUCGAUUCCUACUUCCUCCACCA
rnacentral:tRNA from 1 species